CUCUUCUUUCAGUAUCCAAAUGAACUUUUGUUGACUUUGUUCAAGACCAAGUGCCAGUUCUCUUAUUUGUUCAUCAGUAAAUGAAGCUGCAGAUCCAAAUGAAACAAGUAUCACUGAGUUUGGUUCUUGAUGGUCCAGCCACUGCAAUAGGUGUUGACGUGGCAGGUUACAAGUCGUGUCUUUUAUGAUAUUCUGCUCCAUUUCCAUGGUCCAGCCACUGCAAUAGGUGAUGACGUGGCAGGUUACAAGUCGUGUCUUUUAUGAUAUUCUGCUCCAUUUCCAAAGGGUUCAUAAAAAGACCAAGACCCCAAUUUUUC
rnacentral:lncRNA from 1 species